GCUUCCACCAAUGCCAUUGGCCAGACGUCAGUCACGUGGUCCCACUGAAGGCCCCCAUGCAGAAGGUGCACUUAGGCAGAGGGGCACACGCUGGGAGUGUGGCAGGCCAUGGGGCACUCGGAAGUGUUUUCUUUUUUCUUUUUUUUAUAUUAAAAGGACAAGCAAACACAAGGUAAUUUUGCUGGUUUAAAAUGGACGCAUGGGUGUCUUGGAAGCCGGAGGGAUGACCUCAGUUGGGUGCGGGGUCUUGCUUUUGUCCAAGCCGUCUGCUCUCAGAACAAAGUCCAGAAGACAAAGCUUGGUGGCCUUUGGUAAUAAGCAAAAGCAGAAGCUCCUUGGCCGACCUCCACUCCACUAGCUGGAACAGCGUGUCCCACUUUUCUAUUAAACUAGCCGAGGGUCGGGCACCUGUGCUGUGGAUGCUGUCAGGUACAGCAGGUCAGGUACAGGUACGAAUGCUCCUCCGGGGAGCUUGUGAACUUACCAAGCAUUAGUUGGAUUUGUUCCUAAGCCUUUUUAGGGCAGCUAUGGGUGCAACAUCAAUUACUUAAACUUUUCAAUUUAAUUGAUGUCACAUAAACUGUUGAGUAAAAUGGAAAUAUGAGUGAAAAAAAAUUUUUAAUUAUUUUUAAAAUUCCAGUAUAGUUAACACACAGUGGUAUGUUAGUUUCAGGUGUGCAAUAUAGUGAUUUAAAAUUCCGUAUAUUACUCAGUGCUCAUCACCCUAAGUAUACUCUUAAUCCUUGAAAAUACAUUUUUUUAAAUAAAAAUUAAUUUAACUACUUUGGAAAACCUGAAUUGAGUGAAAAAUGAUUGUCAAAUACGGUGUUUGUGAGACAACUUUGGGGAAAAGGGGUGGAGGAUUAUAAAAAUACAGAGGCCUCUGAACUCUGUUUCAGGGUCUUUCAGCUCUAACUGUGCUUCGAAGAAACCCAAACUGUGAUGCAUUACAUAUGUGGCUUUUGUAGAAAGGACCACCGAGACUCAGGAAGAGGUCUUGGUCCGAAUUCAAAAGAUUAACAAAUAAAUGUACUCUUUUUGUAUUUUAAGUUAAAACGGUUAUGUUUAUAUAUUUCUAAUGGAUUCCCCACUUUAAUUGGCUUUUUUGGUCAACCACCCCCUAGUGGUUGUAUCAGAUAAGAUACAUACAUGCGUAUUGUUUUGGGAACACAGCUCCAUAGGGAGUACACUGACACUGUAGAAGGAUGAUUAAUUUAGCCCUCUGAUUUUCAGGAAGCCUCUCCUGGCUAAACAACAUGUGCCUAUAGUUUUUAGUUCCUCGGAGUGAGACCACAACUACUCCCGGACUAACUCACCCUGUGUUUGUUGCCACCUCUACUCAGCAAAGGCACCUUACUGUCUAUGGGGUCUGAGGGCAGGGGUGUGGGGGCUCCCCUCUGACUCCCACUUCCUCCCACACAGCACAGCGUAGGUGUGGGGAUCAGGACAAGUCAGGGAAGGAGAUAAAUCAGUGCGGACCUUUUGCCUACUGCUUGCGGAUGGAAAGGGAAAACUCCCUGAGUAACAGACGUUUUAUUGGGAUGGGUAUGGGUAGAAAUGGAUAUCUCUUCUGUGUUGUCUUAGAAAACAGAGAUCAAUUCUCUUAUGGAAUGGAAAUGGUAAAAAGCAGCCUUCUUGCACACUUACAUAAUCAAGAAACUAGGAGAAGAAAUCUGAACCUGUCAACAGCUUGAAUGACAGAACAGCCUCCGGGCAAGAGGUGACAUUGCAGGAUGCCACUGCCUUGCCUGUUCCCCACCUGCCCCGUCUCUUCUAGAGCUGCCACUCCCGCAGCACUCCUGCAAGGGAGCCCCGACCUCUGUUCUCCAGGCUAAAAUGUAUGUCCUGCAGAUGCAAGGAAGAGCCAACUGUCUGAGCUCAAGGAUUUCCCGGUGACAUUAAAAAAUGCAUUGCUGAA